rnacentral:misc_RNA from 1 species
UACAGAGACUCCAAGCGUUAUUCGGAUUCACUGGGCGUAAAGGGAGCGCAGGCGGCCAGAUGUGUCAGAGGUGAAAUGCUGCAGCUUAACUGUAGAACUGCCUUUGAAACUAUCUGGCUAGAGUAUCGGAGAGGUAAGCGGAAUUCCAGGUGUAGCAGUGAAAUGCGUAGAUAUCUGGAGGAACACCAAUGGCGAAGGCAGCUUACUGGACGAUUACUGACGCUCAGGCUCGAAAGCAUGGGGAGCGAAAGGG